GUCUGGCAACGUUACAUUUCCAGGGCAUUACUAAAACAAAACACAAGAUCCCUGAAAACUGAAAUAUGGUCAAGAAGAACAACUGUCUGUUAACUUAGGUGCAAAAGGAAAAUGUCAUGCAGAAUUGGGCCAAAAGAUCCAGUAUCUUCUGGAAAUUGAAUCUCCUCCAGGUGGAGUGGAUUGGCAUGAAGACUGUGGAUUUGGGCAGUCAAGGCAGGCAAUCACAAAGGAGAAGCUGAAGCCAUGUGAAGUUGAAGGGCCUGGCAGGAGUCAUCCUUCAUUUGGACACAUCCACAACAAACAGCUCUCCCUGAGACUGACCACAGAGUGUGCAGCCAAAAAAAUGAACCUGGUUGUUGUGUUGAAAUCUGUUCUGGAGUACUGGGAAGUAGAAGAACAACAUCAGCCUUCUAUAUUGUUCUCACCACAGAAUUCAGCUGAGGAUGCUGCCGAUCAGCUUUUGAGUUCUGAACAUUGAGAAACCCUCUUGCUUUCACCUGUUCAGCCAUGGUCAGGACAGGACAACCAAAG
rnacentral:lncRNA from 1 species